UCUGACCUCUUGCUCUCAGUAACAAGGAUUCAUCCUGUUGUGGAACACAAAUCCAA
rnacentral:precursor_RNA from 12 species